UUUUUUUCAUACUGAAGUUUAUUAUAUUUGGUGUUUGGAAUGAAUGCAAGGUGUAUAUGUCCAACUGGCAGGCAUCAUCUGACCUCGACCUCAUUUUCAUGGUUCAGUGGUCAAAGUUAAGUUUUUGAGUUUUCGUCUUUUUUCCUAUUACUAAGUGGAAUAGAUCAGCUAUAUUGAGUAUAGAAAUAUUUUAUAAUAUUAAUGUCAGCCUCCAGGUUUCUUUGACCUUGACCUCAUUUUCAU
rnacentral:lncRNA from 1 species